UACGUAGGGGGCAAGCGUUGUCCGGAUUUAUUGGGCGUAAAGAGCGUGUAGGCGGCCAUGUAGGUCCGUUGUGAAAACUCCGAGGCUCAACCUCGAGACGCCGAUGGAAACCAUGUGGCUAGAGUCCGGAAGAGGAGAGUGGAAUUCCUGGUGUAGCGGUGAAAUGCGCAGAUAUCAGGAAGAACACCCGUGGCUAAGGCGGCUCUCUAGUACGGUACUGACGCUGAGACGCGAAAGCGUGGGGGAGCGAACAGGG
rnacentral:rRNA from 1 species